UACGAAGGGAGCUAGCGUUGUUCGGAAUCACUGGGCGUAAAGCGCACGUAGGCGGAUGUGUCAGUCAGGGGUGAAAUCCCGGAGCUCAACUUCGGAACUGCCUUUGAUACAGCACAUCUGGAGUCCGGAAGAGGUGGGUGGAAUUCCUAGUGUAGAGGUGAAAUUCGUAGAUAUUCGCAAGAACACCAGUGGCGAAGGCGGCUCACUGGCCCGGUACUGACGCUGAGGUGCGAAAGCGUGGGGAGCAAACAGG
rnacentral:rRNA from 1 species